rnacentral:rRNA from 1 species
GGGUUGUGAGGUUAAGCGACUAAGCGUACACGGUGGAUGCCCUGGCAGUCAGAGGCGAUGAAGGACGUGCUAAUCUGCGAUAAGCGUCGGUAAGGUGAUAUGAACCGUUAUAACCGGCGAUUUCCGAAUGGGGAAACCCAGUGUGUUUCGACACACUAUCAUUAACUGAAUCCAUAGGUUAAUGAGGCGAACCGGGGGAACUGAAACAUCUAAGUACCCCGAGGAAAAGAAAUCAACCGAGAUUCCCCCAGUAGCGGCGAGCGAACGGGGAGCAGCCCAGAGCCUGAAUCAGUAUGUGUGUUAGUGGAAGCGUCUGGAAAGGCGCGCGAUACAGGGUGACAGCCCCGUACACAAAAAUGCACAUAUUGUGAGCUCGAUGAGUAGGGCGGGACACGUGGUAUCCUGUCUGAAUAUGGGGGGACCAUCCUCCAAGGCUAAAUACUCCUGACUGACCGAUAGUGAACCAGUACCGUGAGGGAAAGGCGAAAAGAACCCCGGCGAGGGGAGUGAAAAAGAACCUGAAACCGUGUACGUACAAGCAGUGGGAGCACGCUUAGGCGUGUGACUGCGUACCUUUUGUAUAAUGGGUCAGCGACUUAUAUUCUGUAGCAAGGUUAACCGAAUAGGGGAGCCGAAGGGAAACCGAGUCUUAACUGGGCGUUAAGUUGCAGGGUAUAGACCCGAAACCCGGUGAUCUAGCCAUGGGCAGGUUGAAGGUUGGGUAACACUAACUGGAGGACCGAACCGACUAAUGUUGAAAAAUUAGCGGAUGACUUGUGGCUGGGGGUGAAAGGCCAAUCAAACCGGGAGAUAGCUGGUUCUCCCCGAAAGCUAUUUAGGUAGCGCCUCGUGAAUUCAUCUCCGGGGGUAGAGCACUGUUUCGGCAAGGGGGUCAUCCCGACUUACCAACCCGAUGCAAACUGCGAAUACCGGAGAAUGUUAUCACGGGAGACACACGGCGGGUGCUAACGUCCGUCGUGAAGAGGGAAACAACCCAGACCGCCAGCUAAGGUCCCAAAGUCAUGGUUAAGUGGGAAACGAUGUGGGAAGGCCCAGACAGCCAGGAUGUUGGCUUAGAAGCAGCCAUCAUUUAAAGAAAGCGUAAUAGCUCACUGGUCGAGUCGGCCUGCGCGGAAGAUGUAACGGGGCUAAACCAUGCACCGAAGCUGCGGCAGCGACGCUUAUGCGUUGUUGGGUAGGGGAGCGUUCUGUAAGCCUGCGAAGGUGUGCUGUGAGGCAUGCUGGAGGUAUCAGAAGUGCGAAUGCUGACAUAAGUAACGAUAAAGCGGGUGAAAAGCCCGCUCGCCGGAAGACCAAGGGUUCCUGUCCAACGUUAAUCGGGGCAGGGUGAGUCGACCCCUAAGGCGAGGCCGAAAGGCGUAGUCGAUGGGAAACAGGUUAAUAUUCCUGUACUUGGUGUUACUGCGAAGGGGGGACGGAGAAGGCUAUGUUGGCCGGGCGACGGUUGUCCCGGUUUAAGCGUGUAGGCUGGUUUUCCAGGCAAAUCCGGAAAAUCAAGGCUGAGGCGUGAUGACGAGGCACUACGGUGCUGAAGCAACAAAUGCCCUGCUUCCAGGAAAAGCCUCUAAGCAUCAGGUAACAUCAAAUCGUACCCCAAACCGACACAGGUGGUCAGGUAGAGAAUACCAAGGCGCUUGAGAGAACUCGGGUGAAGGAACUAGGCAAAAUGGUGCCGUAACUUCGGGAGAAGGCACGCUGAUAUGUAGGUGAAGUCCCUCGCGGAUGGAGCUGAAAUCAGUCGAAGAUACCAGCUGGCUGCAACUGUUUAUUAAAAACACAGCACUGUGCAAACACGAAAGUGGACGUAUACGGUGUGACGCCUGCCCGGUGCCGGAAGGUUAAUUGAUGGGGUUAGCCGCAAGGCGAAGCUCUUGAUCGAAGCCCCGGUAAACGGCGGCCGUAACUAUAACGGUCCUAAGGUAGCGAAAUUCCUUGUCGGGUAAGUUCCGACCUGCACGAAUGGCGUAAUGAUGGCCAGGCUGUCUCCACCCGAGACUCAGUGAAAUUGAACUCGCUGUGAAGAUGCAGUGUACCCGCGGCAAGACGGAAAGACCCCGUGAACCUUUACUAUAGCUUGACACUGAACAUUGAGCCUUGAUGUGUAGGAUAGGUGGGAGGCUUUGAAGUGUGGACGCCAGUCUGCAUGGAGCCGACCUUGAAAUACCACCCUUUAAUGUUUGAUGUUCUAACGUUGACCCGUAAUCCGGGUUGCGGACAGUGUCUGGUGGGUAGUUUGACUGGGGCGGUCUCCUCCUAAAGAGUAACGGAGGAGCACGAAGGUUGGCUAAUCCUGGUCGGACAUCAGGAGGUUAGUGCAAUGGCAUAAGCCAGCUUGACUGCGAGCGUGACGGCGCGAGCAGGUGCGAAAGCAGGUCAUAGUGAUCCGGUGGUUCUGAAUGGAAGGGCCAUCGCUCAACGGAUAAAAGGUACUCCGGGGAUAACAGGCUGAUACCGCCCAAGAGUUCAUAUCGACGGCGGUGUUUGGCACCUCGAUGUCGGCUCAUCACAUCCUGGGGCUGAAGUAGGUCCCAAGGGUAUGGCUGUUCGCCAUUUAAAGUGGUACGCGAGCUGGGUUUAGAACGUCGUGAGACAGUUCGGUCCCUAUCUGCCGUGGGCGCUGGAGAACUGAGGGGGGCUGCUCCUAGUACGAGAGGACCGGAGUGGACGCAUCACUGGUGUUCGGGUUGUCAUGCCAAUGGCACUGCCCGGUAGCUAAAUGCGGAAGAGAUAAGUGCUGAAAGCAUCUAAGCACGAAACUUGCCCCGAGAUGAGUUCUCCCUGACCCUUUAAGGGUCCUGAAGGAACGUUGAAGACGACGACGUUGAUAGGCCGGGUGUGUAAGCGCAGCGAUGCGUUGAGCUAACCGGUACUAAUGAACCGUGAGGCUUAACCUUACAACGCCGAAG